rnacentral:rRNA from 1 species
AACCUGCCCACUGAUAAAUUUUUUAAAGGGCCGCGGUAUCCUGACUGUGCAAAGGUAGCAUAAUCGUUAGUUUUUUAAUUGGAAUCUUGUAUGAAUGGUUUGACAAAAGAAAAUCUGUCUUUAUAAUUAUUUAUUGAAUUUAACUUUUAAGUGAAAAGGCUUAAAUAAAUUAAAAAGACGAUAAGACCCUAUAAAGCUUAAUAUUAAAUUUUUAUUUAAUUAAAUUUUGAAUUAUAAUAAAAAUUUGGUAAAUAAAUUUUAUUUUGUUGGGGUGAUAAUGGUAAAAUGAUUAUUAACUGUUAAUUUUUUUAGACAAAAAUAAGUGAAUAAGUGAUUUAUUAAUAAAGGAUCCUGUAUUAAAGAUUAAAAGUUUAAGUUACUUUAGGGAUAACAGCGUUAUUUUUUUUGAGAGUUCUUAUCGAGAAAAAAGUUUGCGACCUCGAUGUUGAAUUAAAAUAUCUAUAUAAUUGUAGCAGUUAUAUAAGAAGGU